rnacentral:rRNA from 1 species
GCUCCCUGGUGGCGAGCGGCGGACGGGUGAGUAAUGCAUAGGAAUCUGCCCGGUAGUGGGGGAUAACGUGGGGAAACCCACGCUAAUACCGCAUACGUCCUACGGGAGAAAGCAGGGGAUCUUCGGACCUUGCGCUAUCGGAUGAGCCUAUGUCGGAUUAGCUAGUUGGUAAGGUAACGGCUUACCAAGGCGACGAUCCGUAGCUGGUCUGAGAGGAUGAUCAGCCACACUGGGACUGAGACACGGCCCAGACUCCUACGGGAGGCAGCAGUGGGGAAUAUUGGACAAUGGGCGAAAGCCUGAUCCAGCCAUGCCGCGUGUGUGAAGAAGGCUUUCGGGUUGUAAAGCACUUUCAGCGAGGAAGAAAGCCUCUGGGUUAAUACUUCAGAGGAAGGACAUCACUCGCAGAAGAAGCACCGGCUAACUCCGUGCCAGCAGCCGCGGUAAUACGGAGGGUGCGAGCGUUAAUCGGAAUUACUGGGCGUAAAGCGCGCGUAGGUGGCUUGGCACGCCGGUUGUGAAAGCCCCGGGCUCAACCUGGGAACGGCAUCCGGAACGGCCAGGCUAGAGUGCAGGAGAGGAAGGUAGAAUUCCCGGUG